GCCAGCACCUAUAUCACCCUGGAACUCCCCACUGGCAGCCCCCUGAAGCUCAGCAGGUGUGAGCCUGGCCAGUACCUGGAUGGGAGACCUCCUGGGAAAAAGGCUUCUGCUGGAA
rnacentral:rRNA from 1 species